AACGAACGCUGGCGGCAGGCUUAACACAUGCAAGUCGAACGCCCCGCAAGGGGAGUGGCAGACGGGUGAGUAACGCGUGGGAAUCUACCUAGUUCUACGGAACAACACAGGGAAACUUGUGCUAAUACCGUAUACGCCCUACGGGGGAAAGAUUUAUCGGAAUUAGAUGAGCCCGCGUAAGAUUAGCUAGUUGGUGGGGUAAUGGCCUACCAAGGCGACGAUCUUUAGCUGGUCUGAGAGGAUGAUCAGCCACACUGGGACUGAGACACGGCCCAGACUCCUACGGGAGGCAGCAGUGGGGAAUUUUGGACAAUGGGCGCAAGCCUGAUCCAGCCAUGCCGCGUGAGUGAUGAAGGCCUUAGGGUUGUAAAGCUCUUUCACCGAUGAAGAUAAUGACGGUAGUCGGAGAAGAAGCCCCGGCUAACUUCGUGCCAGCCGCCGCCGUAAUAC
rnacentral:rRNA from 1 species